rnacentral:antisense_RNA from 1 species
UGUAAGCAUUAAGCGUGCGCUGGCACAGGGCAGAACGCACGCAGUCCUGUUUAUCAAAGCAGAUGACACCGAUCAUUUCAUCCUCAGCGAAGCGUUCUAACGCGUCACUGAGACCGGACUUCACACCGCGCGGCAAAUCACACUGAGUGACGUCACCAUUGACGAUCACCGUGACGUUCUCCCCCAAACGCGUC